rnacentral:rRNA from 1 species
AACACAUGCAAGUCGAACGGAAAGGCCCUGCUUUUGUGGGGUGCUCGAGUGGCGAACGGGUGAGUAACACGUGAGUAACCUGCCCUUGACUUUGGGAUAACUUCAGGAAACUGGGGCUAAUACCGGAUAGGAGCUCCUGCUGCAUGGUGGGGGUUGGAAAGUUUCGGCGGUUGGGGAUGGACUCGCGGCUUAUCAGCUUGUUGGUGGGGUAGUGGCUUACCAAGGCUUUGACGGGUAGCCGGCCUGAGAGGGUGACCGGCCACAUUGGGACUGAGAUACGGCCCAGACUCCUACGGGAGGCAGCAGUGGGGAAUAUUGCACAAUGGGCGGAAGCCUGAUGCAGCAACGCCGCGUGCGGGAUGACGGCCUUCGGGUUGUAAACCGCUUUCGCCUGUGACGAAGCGUGAGUGACGGUAAUGGGUAAAGAAGCACCGGCUAACUACGUGCCAGCAGCCGCGGUGAUACGUAGGGUGCGAGCGUUGUCCGGAUUUAUUGGGCGUAAAGGGCUCGUAGGUGGUUGAUCGCGUCGGAAGUGUAAUCUUGGGGCUUAACCCUGAGCGUGCUUUCGAUACGGGUUGACUUGAGGAAGGUAGGGGAGAAUGGAAUUCCUGGUGGAGCGGUGGAAUGCGCAGAUAUCAGGAGGAACACCAGUGGCGAAGGCGGUUCUCUGGGCCUUUCCUGACGCUGAGGAGCGAAAGCGUGGGGAGCGAACAGGCUUAGAUACCCUGGUAGUCCACGCUGUAAACGGUGGGUACUAGGUGUGGGGUCCAUUCCACGGGUUCCGUGCCGUAGCUAACGCUUUAAGUACCCCGCCUGGGGAGUACGGCCGCAAGGCUAAAACUCAAAGGAAUUGACGGGGCCCCGCACAAGCGGCGGAGCACGCGGAUUAAUUCGAUGCAACGCGUAGAACCUUACCUGGGUUUGACAUGGAUCGGGAGUGCUCAGAGAUGGGUGUGCCUCUUUUGGGGUCGGUUCACAGGUGGUGCAUGGCUGUCGUCAGCUCGUGUCGUGAGAUGUUGGGUUAAGUCCCGCAACGAGCGCAACCCUUGUUCACUGUUGCCAGCACGUUAUGGUGGGGACUCAGUGGAGACCGCCGGGGUCAACUCGGAGGAAGGUGGGGAUGACGUCAAGUCAUCAUGCCCCUUAUGUCCAGGGCUUCACGCAUGCUACAAUGGCUGGUACAGAGAGUGGCGAGCCUGUGAGGGUGAGCGAAUCUCGGAAAGCCGGUCUCAGUUCGGAUUGGGGUCUGCAACUCGACCUCAUGAAGUCGGAGUCGCUAGUAAUCGCAGAUCAGCAACGCUGCGGUGAAUACGUUCCCGGGGCUUGUACACACCGCCCGUCAAGUCAUGAAAGUUGGUAACACCCGAAGCCGGUGGCCUAACCGUUGUGGGGGAGCCGUCGAAGGUGGGACUGGUGAUUAGGACUAAG